AGAAUCUAGCUUCAGGUCUGGGACAACCACUGGAAACGGUGGCUAAUACCGGAUGUGCCGGAAGGUGAAAGGCUUGCUGCCUGAAGAUGAGCUCGCGUCCGAUUAGCUAGUAGGUGGGGUAAGAGCCUACCUAGGCGACGAUCGGUAGCUGGUCUGAGAGGAUGACCAGCCACACUGGGACUGAGACACGGCCCAGACUCCUACGGGAGGCAGCAGUGGGGAAUUUUCCGCAAUGGGCGAAAGCCUGACGGAGCAAUACCGCGUGAGGGAGGAAGGCUCUUGGGUUGUAAACCUCUUUUCUCAGGGAAGAACACAAUGACGGUACCUGAGGAAUCAGCAUCGGCUAACUCCGUGCCAGCAGCCGCGGUAAUACGGAGGAUGCAAGCGUUAUCCGGAAUGAUUGGGCGUAAAGCGUCCGCAGGUGGCUGUGUAAGUCUGCUGUCAAAGAGCAAAGCUCAACUUUGUAAAGGCAGUGGAAACUACACGGCUAGAGUGCGUUCGGGGCAGAGGGAAUUCCUGGUGUAGCGGUGAAAUGCGUAGAGAUCAGGAAGAACACCGGUGGCGAAGGCGCUCUGCUAGGCCGCAACUGACACUGAGGGACGAAAGCUAGGGGAGCGAAUGGG
rnacentral:rRNA from 1 species